rnacentral:rRNA from 1 species
AGUGAACGCUGGCGGCAGGCCUAACACAUGCAAGUCGAACGGCAGCACAGAGGAGCUUGCUCCUUGGGUGGCGAGUGGCGGACGGGUGAGGAAUGCGUCGGAAUCUGCCUUUUUGUGGGGGAUAACGUAGGGAAACUUACGCUAAUACCGCAUACGACCUACGGGUGAAAGUGGGGGACCGCAAGGCCUCACGCAGAAAGAUGAGCCGACGCCGGAUUAGCUAGUUGGCGGGGUAAAGGCCCACCAAGGCGACGAUCCGUAGCUGGUCUGAGAGGAUGAUCAGCCACACUGGGACUGAGACACGGCCCAGACUACUACGGGAGGCAGCAGUGGGGAAUAUUGGACAAUGGACGCAAGCCUGAUCCAGCCAUGCCGCGUGUGUGAAGAAGGCCUUCGGGUUGUAAAGCACUUUUGUCCGGAAAGAAAUCCUUUCGAUUAAUACUCGGGAGGGAUGACGGUACCGGAAGAAUAAGCACCGGCUAACUUCGUGCCAGCCGCCGCGGUAAGAC